rnacentral:rRNA from 1 species
AUUGAACGCUGGCGGCAUGCCUUACACAUGCAAGUCGAACGGCAGCGGGGGUAGCUUGCUACCUGCCGGCGAGUGGCGAACGGGUGAGUAAUACAUCGGAACGUGCCCUGUAGUGGGGGAUAACUAGUCGAAAGACUAGCUAAUACCGCAUACGACCUGAGGGUGAAAGUGGGGGACCGCAAGGCCUCAUGCUAUAGGAGCGGCCGAUGUCUGAUUAGCUAGUUGGUGGGGUAAAGGCCCAACAAGGCGACGAUCAGUAGCUGGUCUGAGAGGACGAUCAGCCACACUGGGACUGAGACACGGCCCAGACUCCUACGGGAGGCAGCAGUGGGGAAUUUUGGACAAUGGGGGCAACCCUGAUCCAGCAAUGCCGCGUGUGUGAAGAAGGCCUUCGGGUUGUAAAGCACUUUUGUCCGGAAAGAAAUCGCACUGGUUAAUACCUGGUGUGGAUGACGGUACCGGAAGAAUAAGGACCGGCUAACUACGUGCCAGCCGCCGCGUAA